rfam:Oryza nivara chromosome 4, whole genome shotgun sequence.
AACCACACUAUCAAUAGAUGGAUUCACCCGUGAAAUGAUGCGGUUGUUUCACCUAGGACGAGGACAUGGCAUCCUUACCAGCCAUCGCACAAAAUUAAUAGGAUGUCACGUCCACAUCCUAGAUAAAACAACCACGUCAUAUCAUGGGUGAAUCCAUUCAUCGAUAAUGUGGUU